ACCAGCACUUGAAGCAGCUGCAUAAACAUCGUGUGAAGGAUCCAUCAUCGGUGAUGAAGAAGAAACACCAUUUCUAUUACCUCCACCUAAAUGAAGCUCAGAAAGGUUGAUGAGGUGGAAGAACUAUGUUCACUUAUUGAAUUGGAGUUAUGUAGUUCAAGAUGUAUGGAAAAUUUGGUGAGAUUGAAGAACUAUGUUCACUUAUUGAAAUUGAAGUUAUGUAGUUCACAAUAUAUGGAAAAUUUGGUGAGGUCGUAGAACUAUGUUCACUUAUUAAAAUUGGAGUUAUGUAGUUCAAAAGAGGUAUGGAAAAUUUGGUGAA